rnacentral:lncRNA from 1 species
AGGAAGAGGAGAGGAGCACAACAAAAGAGAGCAAGAGAGGCCGCGCCGCGGUACAAGUAGUAGCGGUAAGAGGAAGUGGUAGCGUAGGGGGGGAGAGAUGAGGCGGGCCCGGACCGGGUGGGCCAGGGAGAAAGCGAAAAGGGCAUCUCCCCCCUCUCCCCCCGGCCCGCGCUUUUGCGCUUUUACGAGGGCACCCUCGUCAUUCCAGCGCAGGAUAGGCGCGCCACGUGUGCUCCGGUUCCCGCCAGUGCGGUCCACGCCGCGCCGCCCGUCCACUCGCUCCGUCACUGACAAAGCGGGCCUGGUGAUAGUUAGGCCACCGUGUCAGUGAGCCGUCAUGGGUGGGAGAAGUGUGCACGGGGGGUGGCUUGGCGGGUAUUGUUUUGUUCGGGCCGAAAAGCUCCGCUGCUGCGCCCGCCACUAGCCUCUCCCUCUCACUCGUCCGCGCACUCGCGGGGGCCGCGGUCCACCACCGCGGGGGGGCGGCGGCGUCGCUGGCGGGCGGGCCNN